rnacentral:rRNA from 1 species
GGGGAUAAUCGGGAGAAAUCCCGUCUAAUACCGCGUAAUGCCGCGGGGCUGCAUGGCCCUGCGGCCAAAGGGAGCGAUUCCGGCAACGGAUGGGCAUGCGUGACAUUAGCUAGUUGGCGGGGCAACGGCCCACCAAGGCGACGAUGUCUAGGGGUUCUGAGAGGAAGGUCCCCCACACUGGUACUGAGACACGGACCAGACUCCUACGGGAGGCAGCAGUGAGGAAUAUUGGUCAAUGGGCGCGAGCCUGAACCAGCCAAGUCGCGUGAGGGAUGACGGCCCUACGGGUUGUAAACCUCUUUUGUCGGGGAGCAAAUUCCGCCACGUGUGGCGGAGUCGAGAGUACCCGAAGAAAAAGCAUCGGCUAACUCCGUGCCAGCAGCCGCGGUAAUACGGAGGAUGCGAGCGUUAUCCGGAUUUAUUGGGUUUAAAGGGUGCGUAGGCGGACUGUCAAGUCAGCGGUAAAAUACGGGGGCUCAACCUCCGCCCGCCGUUGAAACUGACGGUCUUGAGUGGGCGAGAAGUAUGCGGAAUGCGUGGUGUAGCGGUGAAAUGCAUAGAUAUCACGCAGAACUCCGAUUGCGAAGGCAGCAUACCGGCGCCCGACUGACGCUGAAGCACGAAAGCGUGGGUAUCGAACAGGAUUAGAUACCCUGGUAGUCCACGCAGUAAACG